rfam:Anopheles farauti strain FAR1 unplaced genomic scaffold supercont2.4, whole genome shotgun sequence.
AAGACUGUGCUUCAUAGGAUCAUUUCUAUAGGCAAGUUUUCAACUCUACUUCUUUGUAAGUGGAGCUUAUCCAACCCACGAUGACGAGCGGUAGUGGCUGUCCUGGAGCGUGAAACCGUCGGAUCUCGGCUGCGCCUCUGGCGCGUCGGUCUGUACUUGAUGAUCGUAUCCAUAGCAAAAGGGCAGACACAUUCUGAGUGGU